GAUUGGGGCUGGGUUGGUUAGGUUAUUCGGAUAAAGCCCACCCGAAUUCUCCAUUCCGAUUAUUCGGCCUAAAUAAGACUCUCGGUUGUUUGUGUGUUUGGUUACCGUGAUUCUUCAAGAAAUCAGAGCAAAUCGCAGAAAGAAAGAAAGAGGAAGAAAAAAUGAUUUACCGUAAAUGGAGUCUGUUAACUGGCCCAGCUGCGAUUUUGGGAUCAAUCGUGGCCACUGUGGUCGUCGCCAACUUUAUCUUCGUCCAAAAUGACCCAUUCCUUAAACCAGAGCCAAGGAAGCAAGAUAACGAUUCCUCAACCAAGUAGGAAAAUGUGAGAAAUAAGUGACUUGAAUGUGAUCAAAACUGUUUCAGGUUUUAUGUUGAGCAUGCCAUUCGCAAACUUAUGCUUUAAGUUGUUGUGUUGGACAUAAUAAAUUGCAUAAAAUUUGAAUAAGAAGAUAUUUUAAUCUAUUCUGCAAAUUCUCUUC